rnacentral:lncRNA from 1 species
CUUGAAUAUUAUUAUAGAUAGAGAUAAACUGUAAACAUCAAUAAUGUUAAGCAAAGUAAGAUUUACAAAUAAGUCAACAUGACGGAAAUGGUAAAUUGACCCCUAAGGAGUUAUUGUCCUUUAUAGUCAAUUUUUAACAAUUUUUUAUAAAAUUUGUAAAUUUUAACUAACAUUUUCCACUGAAACUACUGGGCCAAGUUCAUUAUAGAUAGAGAUAAUUGUAAGCAGCAAGAAUGUUCAGUAAAGUAAGAUGUACAAACACAUCACCAUCACCAAAACACAAUUUUGUCAUGAAUCCAUCUGCUUCCUUUGUUUAAUAUUCACAUAGACUAAGGUGAGCGACACAGGCUCUUUAGAGCCUCUAGUUU